CACGUAGGGGGCAAGCGUUGUCCGGAUUUAUUGGGCGUAAAGAGCUCGUAGGUGGUUCGAUAAGUCGGGUGUGAAACCUCCAGGCUCAACCUGGAGACGCCACCCGAUACUGUCGUGACUAGAGUCCAGUAGGGGAGCGUGGAAUUCCUGGUGUAGCGGUGAAAUGCGCAGAUAUCAGGAGGAACACCAGCAGCGAAGGCGGCGCUCUGGGCUGGCACUGACACUGAGGAGCGAAAGCGUGGGGAGCGAACAGG
rnacentral:rRNA from 1 species